UGGUGGGGUGACUUGUCUGCUUAAUUGCAAUAACGAACGAGACCUUAACCUGCUAAAUAGCCCGCAUUGCUCCGGCAGUGCGCUGGCUUCUUAGAGGGACUUUCGGCUCAAGCCGAAGGAAGUUUGAGGCAAUAACA
rnacentral:rRNA from 1 species